UCGACAUCAUGAGAAAGAUAAUGCAACACGAAGUAAAACACCGGUAUUAAUUAAUGAGAUGUGAAGUGAUCAUCAACACAACCGCCCGGGAUAGCCAACUGAUCGGCCGGAUUAGGUUUGGGUCUUGCAUUUGCGGGGCUAGCCACGACAUGACCACAACCCCAACCACAAGAUCCGUUGUCUCCCUCAUGUGGCACCCCAUGAGACCACCUAUCUCGCAAAGGGAAAGUGUGUGUGUCUGUGUCCCUGCCGUUUCACUCUCUAGGCUAGGCUAGGAUGGUGUUUAAGACAGUUAAGCUUGGCCCCAACCCCUAAAAUGAAGGAGAGACGCCAAGCCUAAACCAAGAGAAGACCAAAGCCAGCGACACCCCUCUCUCAUCACCAGUUCACCAGUUCGUCAUCACCACAUGCACAAGUGCACGAGCUAGAGCGGACGUACGUGCAGCGCGCUAGCUACUAGUAGCUCGGCUCGCGGCCCCGGUUGAUCCAUGUCCAUGAGGAGCGUUCCAUGACCACCCCCUCCUCCCCGUGUUCUUCCUCCUCCUCCCCCACCUCCGGGCAACAUCGCCGGUGCCAAGUCCAGGAAUCGGCGGCGGUGGACAACGAGGGCGACAACGGCCAGGUCGUCCACGGCAUUCCGUUUCCGGAGGCUAUAGAAGACGUCGAGGGAGCCNNNNNNN
rnacentral:lncRNA from 1 species